GUCUACCGCCAUACCACCCUGAACAUGCCCGAUCUUGUCUGAUCUUGGAAGCUAAGCAGGUUCAGGCCUGGUUAGUACUUGGAUGGGAGAGUUACUGGUAGAGCCA
rnacentral:rRNA from 1 species